rnacentral:rRNA from 1 species
CUGGGCCUACGGGGCGCAGCAGUAGGGAAUCUUCCACAAUGGGCGAAAGCCUGAUGGAGCAACGCCGCGUGGGUGAAGAAGGUCUUCGGAUCGUAAAACCCUGUUGUUAGAGAAGAAAGUGCGUGAGAGUAACUGUUCACGUUUCGACGGUAUCUAACCAGAAAGCCACGGCUAACUACGUGCCAGCAGCCGCGGUAAUACGUAGGUGGCAAGUGUUAUCCGGAUUUAUUGGGCGUAAAGGGAACGCAGGCGGUCUUUUAAGUCUGAGGUGAAAGACUUC